rnacentral:rRNA from 1 species
UCCUGACUGACCGAUAGUGAACCAGUACCGUGAGGGAAAGGCGAAAAGAACCCCGGCGAGGGGAGUGAAAAAGAACCUGAAACCGUGUACGUACAAGCAGUGGGAGCACGCUUAGGCGUGUGACUGCGUACCUUUUGUAUAAUGGGUCAGCGACUUAUAUUCUGUAGCAAGGUUAACCGAAUAGGGGAGCCGAAGGGAAACCGAGUCUUAACUGGGCGUUAAGUUGCAGGGUAUAGACCCGAAACCCGGUGAUCUAGCCAUGGGCAGGUUGAAGGUUGGGUAACACUAACUGGAGGACCGAACCGACUAAUGUUGAAAAAUUAGCGGAUGACUUGUGGCUGGGGGUGAAAGGCCAAUCAAACCGGGAGAUAGCUGGUUCUCCCCGAAAGCUAUUUAGGUAGCGCCUCGUGAAUUCAUCUCCGGGGGUAGAGCACUGUUUCGGCAAGGGGGUCAUCCCGACUUACCAACCCGAUGCAAACUGCGAAUACCGGAGAAUGUUAUCACGGGAGACACACGGCGGGUGCUAACGUCCGUCGUGAAGAGGGAAACAACCCAGACCGCCAGCUAAGGUCCCAAAGUCAUGGUUAAGUGGGAAACGAUGUGGGAAGGCCCAGACAGCCAGGAUGUUGGCUUAGAAGCAG